rnacentral:rRNA from 1 species
AGCGGUAAGGCCCCUUCGGGGGUACACGAGCGGCGAACGGGUGAGUAACACGUGAGCAAUCUACCCAUCACAUCGGGAUAACUCCGGGAAACCGAAGCUAAUACCGAAUACGACCACCUCAGGCAUCUGAUGGUGGUGGAAAGUUCCGGCGGUGAUGGAUGAGCUCGCGGCCUAUCAGCUUGUUGGUGGGGUAACGGCCCACCAAGGCUUCGACGGGUAGCCGGCCUGAGAGGGUGACCGGCCACACUGGGACUGAGACACGGCCCAGACUCCUACGGGAGGCAGCAGUGGGGAAUAUUGGACAAUGGGCGAAAGCCUGAUCCAGCAACGCCGCGUGAGGGAUGACGGCCUUCGGGUUGUAAACCUCUUUCAGCAGGGACGAAGCGAAAGUGACGGUACCUGCAGAAGAAGCACCGGCCAACUACGUGCCAGCAGCCGCGGUAAUACGUAGGGUGCGAGCGUUGUCCGGAAUUAUUGGGCGUAAAGGGCUCGUAGGCGGUCUGUCGCGUCGGGAGUGAAAACUCAGGGCUUAACCCUGAGCCUGCUUCCGAUACGGGCAGACUAGAGGUAUGCAGGGGAGAAUGGAAUUCCUGGUGUAGCGGUGAAAUGCGCAGAUAUCAGGAGGAACACCGGUGGCGAAGGCGGUUCUCUGGGCAUUACCUGACGCUGAGGAGCGAAAGUGUGGGGAGCGAACAGGAUUAGAUACCCUGGUAGUCCACACCGUAAACGUUGGGCGCUAGGUGUGGGACUCAUUCCACGAGUUCCGUGCCGCAGCUAACGCAUUAAGCGCCCCGCC